AUUGAACGCUGGCGGCAUGCCUUACACAUGCAAGUCGAACGGCAGCACGGAGCUUGCUCUGGUGGCGAGUGGCGAACGGGUGAGUAAUAUAUCGGAACGUACCCUGGAGUGGGGGAUAACGUAGCGAAAGUUACGCUAAUACCGCAUACGAUCUAAGGAUGAAAGUGGGGGAUCGCAAGACCUCAUGCUCGUGGAGCGGCCGAUAUCUGAUUAGCUAGUUGUAGGGUAAAGCUACCAAGGCAUCGAUCAGUAGCUGGUCUGAGAGGACGACCAGCCACACUGGAACUGAGACACGGUCCAGACUCCUACGGGAGGCAGCAGUGGGGAAUUUUGGACAAUGGGCGCAAGCCUGAUCCAGCAAUGCCGCGUGAGUGAAGAAGGCCUC
rnacentral:rRNA from 1 species